UAACAAGCCUUGACUGCUAUCUUUCUGAAAAUAUGAGUGAAAGAGUGACACUACCUACUACAAGGAUGGGAUUCAUAAUCAUAAAAUGCAUUUUACACAGGAGGGUAUUCAGGCUAUAUACAUCUACAAGGGAGUUCUAAGAAGUGGAAAUGGUUCCUGCCACAGAUCUAUCUUCCACCUUAUCCCUCACAUCUUUAAAGACUACCCUCAAUUAUCUGGCAUCA